rnacentral:rRNA from 1 species
CCGGCCAGAGACCGAUAGCGCACAAGUAGAGUGAUCGAAAGAUGAAAAGCACUUUGGAAAGAGAGUUAAACAGUACGUGAAAUUGUUGAAAGGGAAGCGCUUGCAAUCAGACUUGCUCGCGGGUGAUCAACCCCCCUUCGCGGGAGGUGCACUCGCCCGCGAUCAGGCCAGCAUCGGUUUCGACGGGCGGAUAAAGGCUCCAGGAAUGUAGCUCCCUUUCGGGGGAGUGUUAUAGCCUGGGGUGCCAUGCGCCCAGUUGGGACCGAGGACCGCGCUUCGGCUAGGAUGCUGGCGUAAUGGUUGUCAGCGACCCGUCUUGAAACACGGACCAAGGAGUCUAACAUCUAUGCGAGUGUUUGGGUGGUCAAACCCCGGCGCGGAAUGAAAGUGAACGGAGGUGGGAGCCCACUUUCGGGGGGGCGCACCAUCGACCGAUCCAGAUGUCUUCGGAUGGAUUUGAGUAGGAGCAUAGCUGUUGGGACCCGAAAGAUGGUGAACUAUGCCUGGAUAGGGUGAAGCCAGAGGAAACUCUGGUGGAGGCUCGCAGCGGUUCUGACGUGCAAAUCGAUCGUCAAAUCUGGGUAUAGGGGCGAAAGACUAAUCGAACCAUCUAGUAAAAACCACUACUAGAAAUACUGACAGGACAAAAAAGAGGCAGUGAUUUUGCCUCGGUAGUCCCCCCUGGGUUUAGGGGGGGCCACACCGCUGGUCUCCGGGGAUACCUUUUGGUUUUCAAAGGGU